CAGCCGCCGCGGUAACACGUAGGUGGCAAGCGUUAUCCGGAAUUAUUGGGCGUAAAGCGCGCGUAGGCGGUUUCUUAAGUCUGAUGUGAAAGCCCACGGCUCAACCGUGGAGGGUCAUUGGAAACUGGGAAACUUGAGUGCAGAAGAGGAAAGUGGAAUUCCAUGUGUAGCGGUGAAAUGCGCAGAGAUAUGGAGGAACACCAGUGGCGAAGGCGACUUUCUGGUCUGUAACUGACGCUGAUGUGCGAAAGCGUGGGGAUCAAACAGGAUUAGAGACCCGCGUAGUCCCUGUCUCUUAUAC
rnacentral:rRNA from 1 species